AGUGAACGCUGGCGGCAUGCCUAACACAUGCAAGUCGAACGGCAGCGCGGGCUUCGGCCUGGCGGCGAGUGGCGGACGGGUGAGGAAUGCAUCGGAAUCUGCCCAGUCGUGGGGGAUAACGUAGGGAAACUUACGCUAAUACCGCAUACGACCGAGAGGUGAAAGCGGGGGACCUUCGGGCCUCGCGCGAUUGGAUGAGCCGAUGCCGGAUUAGCUAGUUGGCGGGGUAAAGGCCCACCAAGGCGACGAUCCGUAGCUGGUCUGAGAGGAUGAUCAGCCACACUGGGACUGAGACACGGCCCAGACUCCUACGGGAGGCAGCAGUGGGGAAUAUUGGACAAUGGGCGCAAGCCUGAUCCAGCAAUGCCGCGUGGGUGAAGAAGGCCUUCGGGUUGUAAAGCCCUUUUGUACGGGAAGAAAGACGCUGGGUUAAUACCCUGGCGGGAUGACGGUACCGUAAGAAUAAGCACCGGCUAACUUCGUGCCAGCAGCCGCGGUAAUACGAAGGGUGCAAGCGUUACUCGGAAUUACUGGGCGUAAAGCGUGCGUAGGCGGUUUGUUAAGUCCGUUGUGAAAGCCUGGGCUCAACCUGGGAACUGCAGUGGAUACUGGCAGGCUAGAGUGCGGUAGAGGAUGGGUGGAAUUCCCGGUGUAGCGGUGAAAAUGCGUAGAGAUCGGGAGGAACAUCGAUGGCGAAGGCAGCCAUCUGGACCAGCACUGACGCUGAGGCACGAAAAGCGUGGGGGAGC
rnacentral:rRNA from 1 species